rnacentral:sRNA from 1 species
AUAGUCAAAAUUAAUAAUUAAGAUUUUGAAUUUAGUUUAUUCCUUUUUCUCCUACAAAUAUAUUAGAAAUUAUCUACAUAUAUAUUUUUGCAGCCAUUUUGUGAAAUAAAUCCUGUAAUUGGGACUUAUUUACAAUGGCUGCCACUGGAUUUUAAUGUUUGUUUUUGAUAAUUAGAAAA